GUUUUUUCUUGAGGCUCAAGGACAGUCUUUAAGGUAGGCAGACACUGUAACACAAAACGUUAAUAUCAGCAAGAGGUAAACAUAGCACUUUUGAAUAUAUCCUUGUACCUUAGGAUAUCCUGAGCCAGCCAUUCGAAGCAGAGAAGCUGAAGGAUGCAUCUGGAAGGAAGUAACUGAGCUGAGCUGCCUUCAAAAAAGUGAAGAGCUCCACUUAAAGUCUGUGGACCUGCCUACUGGAAGAAAGUAAUUUUUGAGGAACAUCUACAAACUUCUCAGCUGAAAUAUGAAGAAACAAGGCUCGGACAGCAAUCCUGGUCUGGUUAAUCCAGAGUUGCCGGAACCACUCAAAGAUUUGAAAAUUAAGUACACUAAGGUAGAGCAAUUGAUCAGAAAGGACCUCUUCUCUUUGGAGACUUCUUGGUUACAGUUUUGUUUUUUUUUUUUUUCUCAUUACCACUUCAAAGAAAAUAAUUCUUACUUUUCUGGAAUCACUGCUCACUUUCUUUCCCAAAUGCAAGACAUUCAAAUGUUUAACAAUUAUCUAGACUUUGAAUUUUGUUCUAUUCCAUUAUUUAAUAUUUUUAAUAUAAAAACCAACCCAGAUUUCAAUGCAUACCUUUCUCGAAUAAAGCAUGCAGGACCUUAGUUUGUAAAUAUUUAACAGAUUAGGAGAGCAGUGUAGUUCUGCCAUGUGAUAGUUCACUAGUGCUCUUCUGUCUCCAAAAUAAAAAAAAGGGAAAAGGGCA
rnacentral:lncRNA from 1 species